CUUCUGUUACGAAGCUUCUUGGUUCUUAAACGUUUCAGAAAACGGCCGGUUGAACACAUAAAAGAUAGUUAUGAAUUAUAAGGAACUUAGCAAAAAAUUUGCUUUGUCUUACGUAAUGGGGAUGGCUAUUGGAUUCUCUGCUGUAGGCGCUCACAGUUUGCUAGGACAAGUCCGAUUCCGUGUUGCUCAGGCUAUUGGCUCUGGAUUUUUUAUGGGUACAGUUUUUGCUUUCGGAUCUUUUGUUCGUUGAG